GACGAACGCUGGCGGCGUGCUUAAUACAUGCGAGUCGAACGGAAAGGCCCUGCUUUUGUGGGGUGCUCGAGUGGCGAACGGGUGAGUAACACGUGUGUAUCCUGCACUUGUCUUUGUGAUAUCUUCUGGAAACUGGGGCUCAUACCGGAUAGGAGCUACUGCUGCAUGGUGGGGGUUGGAAAGUUUCGGCGGUUGGGGCUGGACUCGCAGCUUAUCCGCUUGUUGGUGGGGUAGUGGCUUACAAAGGUUUUGACGGGUAGCCGGCCUGGGAGGGUGACCGGCCACAUUGGGACUGAGAUACGGCCCAGACGCCUACGGGAGGCAGCAGGGGGGAAUAUUGCACAAUGAGCGGAAGCCUGAGGCAGCAACGCCGCGUGCGGGAUGACGGCCUUCGGGUUGUAAACCGCUUUCGCCUGUGACGAAGCGUGAGUGACGGUAAUGGGUAAAGAAGCACCGGCUAACUACGUG
rnacentral:rRNA from 1 species